rnacentral:miRNA from 1 species
CCAGGCUCUUUCCUCUGCGCUCCUAGAAGCGUAGAGGAAAGAGCCUGGGA